AUCAACGCAGCAAGUCCACUAUAAUCCACAAUGUACACAAAAAGCUACCAGAAUUUGACAGAAAUAAUGAAACUGCUAUUGAUGUAGCAUUGAACAAAGUCUUAUAAGUAUUAACAGACAACUGGUUCUGCCUCAAAGGGCACACAACCAAAUAGAACGAACUGACCAGAAACAUAUGCCUACCAAGAAACAAUACAAAGACAAACCCUUUUAACAGUUUGUGAGACAGCAUAUAUGCAUACAAAAAAUGUUAAUGAAAAGUGGCCACUAAACUACGCCUAGAAAAGAGUAAGCUUUAGCUCAAGUGGUAAAGCCACCCCUCCCCAGGCCAUCUUCCACAGCUAGAAUGUCAUCAUGAUCAGCGGCAAAGUACUCAGUUUGUGUUUGUGUGUGUGUGAAAGAGAGAAAGAGAGAGGAGGAAGGGGGAGGGGGAGGAGGCGAACACACUAGCCUUAAAGAGACAUGAAUCGGUUCUAAUUCCCAUCAAGACUGAUUAUAAAAAAAAAAAAGUGCAAUCCAAUCAAUAAUCACUACCUUAUACAAAAGGGUUCUACUCAAGAUAUCAUUUUGAGCCUCUGAUUGAUACAGGACAAGCUCUAUCUCUGCUUACGCAUAAAAGCAACGAGUAACCAAACAUCAAGACAUGCACACACACAAGCACAUAUUAAAUGCUAAUAUGAACCCCUAGCAUCACUACCAUAGUUAACAGGGGAAAUUUGCUCACGAUAGUAGCAUUUUAAGUAAAUAAAACAGUGAGUGAGAAGCAAAGUUUUACUUGGGAAGACAACAAGCUUGUGGUUCUAUGAGGCAGGAAUCCCCAAAAAGGCGUGAUCUUGAUGUGGGUUCUACCAUUAACCACUGCUCUACAACUCAAUGGUUUCUGCAGUGGCAAAGGGACCUCCAUUGGUGAUAUCUUCAAGAAUGUUUCACGAGGGUCUGUCUUCUUUCUU
rnacentral:lncRNA from 1 species